rnacentral:rRNA from 1 species
AACGAACGCUGGCGGCAUGCCUAACACAUGCCAGUCGAACGAGACCUUCGGGUCUAGUGGCGCACGGGUGCGUAACGCGUGGGAACCUGCCCUUAGGUUCGGAAUAACUCCCCGAAAGGGGUGCUAAUACCGGAUAAUGUCUUCGGACCAAAGAUUUAUCGCCUUUGGAUGGGCCCGCGUUGGAUUAGCUAGUUGGUAGGGUAAAAGCCUACCAAGGCGACGAUCCAUAGCUGGCCUGAGAGGAUGAUCAGCCACACUGGGACUGAGACACGGCCCAGACUCCUACGGGAGGCAGCAGUGGGGAAUAUUGGACAAUGGGCGAAAGCCUGAUCCAGAAAUGCCGCGUGAGUGAUGAAGGCCUUAGGGUUGUAAAGCUCUUUUACCCGGGAUGAUAAUGACAGUACCGGGAGAAUAAGCGCCGGCUAACUCCGUG